AUGCAUCCUAGACAAAUUAAACACAACAACCAGCCCGUGUCCGUCGGCAUCGAUGGAAAGCAGCCGAGCUUCCAGAUGUACAAUGGCGGCAUCAUGACCGGCGACGCCUGCGGCACAGAAAUUAACCACGCGGUCACCCUGGUGGGCUACGGUGUCGAGCAGGAUGGGACAAGCUACUGGCUCAUCAAGAACUCGUGGGGCCAAAACUGGGGAGAAGGAGGCUACAUGAAGCUCCAGAGAGGCACGGGCGCCUGCGGCGUUGACAUGCUGGCAUCUUACCCUGUCGCAUGA
rnacentral:rRNA from 1 species